GAUUAAAAACAAUGAGAAGUCGUUUGGUGAACGACCCCGCAGGGUCAAGUGUGAAACCAAGAAAAGAAAUCAUUGGACAACUCCAAGCAAUGCAAUCAGUCAAUCAACAAGCAUGUGCCAAACUCUGGAGAUAUAAAGACCAAAGACUGCCCCAGAUCACACAGGGAAACCAGCCUGGAGAAAUGAAGGGGUCUCGGCGGAUCGCAGAACUGUCUGCGGCCAAGCCGGGACUAGAAUCCAGGUCUCCCGACUCCAGCAUUCUUUCCGCUUCGCCAUUUCAUCUCUUUUAUGUGCUUUUAGAUCCCCCGAGGAAGGGAAGGAAUUUAUGCAAAGAACACAGAAGCUCGGAAUCUGAUUACUGCUGCCUCUGUUGA
rnacentral:lncRNA from 1 species